UGGAUAACCGUGGGAAAUCUAGAGCUAAUACAUGUAAAAAAAUUAAUAUAAAUAUAUAUAUAUUAUAUAUGUAUAUAUUAAUAGCAUUUAUUAGAUUAAAUACCAACUAUAAUUAAUAUAUAUAAUGUAUGUGUUCUCACGAAUGUGUAUAUUAUUGUGAACAUAUUAAUUAUAAGAUGAAUCUAGAUAACUUUGCUGAUCGUAUGGCCUUGAGCCGGCGACGUUUCAAUUGAAUUUCUGCCCUAUCAACUUGUAGGUAAGGUAGAGGCUUACCUAGGUUGUAACGGGUAACGGGGAAUCAGGGUUCGAUUCCGGAGAGGGAGCCUGAGAAAUGGCUACCACAUCCAAGGGAGGCAGCAGGCGCGCAAAUUACCCAAUCCAGACAGUGGGAGGUGGUUAUGAGAAAUACCAGAUAAUAGCCUUAUAGGUUAUUAUACUGGAAUGAACGUAAUUUAAGCAAUUCGUUGAGAAACAACUGGAGGGCAAGUCUGGUGCCAGCAGCCGCGGUAAUUCCAGCUCCAGUAGUCUGAUUCAGAGUUGCUGCGUUUAAAACGCUCGUAGUUGGAUGACUAAGUAUAAGACAGUCGAUUGAUAUAUUUGCACAUAAAAUUUAACAUAUUUAUAAUAGAUAAUGUAUAAUAUAUUUUUAGUUAAACUAUUAAUAUAUAUAACAUAUACUAUAGAAUAUGUUAAAGUGUAAAUUUUAAAAUAUUAAUUGAUAGCUGUAUUUAUUUCUUAUACUAAUUAUAUAUAAGGAUGAUAAAUUGACCUUUAGUGUGUUGAUUAUUAUAUCUUAUAAAGUGUGCCUUGAAAAAAUCAAAGUGCUCAAAGCAGGCUGUAUAUGCUUGUAUGUUAAUAGCAUGGAACGAACAAUUGUGAUAAAAAUAAUAUUUUGUUUUUUAUUAAAUUAAAAAGUGAAAUAUUAUAAACACCAACCCACAAAACGGAUGUUGGUUACCGUUAUUGGGUGAUGAUUAAAAGGAGCGGUUGGGGGCAUUAGUAUUUGGCCGCGAGAGGUGAAAUUCUUGGACCGGCCAAGGACUAACAAAUGCGAAGGCAUUUGUCAAGACCGUUUCCAUUAAUCAAGAACGAUAGUGAGAGGUUCGAAGACGAUCAGAUACCGUCCUAGUUCUCACUGUAAACUAUGCCAACCCGGGAUCAGUUUUGAGCUAUUACGCUCGUGGUUGGUCCCCCUGGGAAACCUAAAGUGUUUAGGUUACGGGGGGAGUAUGGUUGCAAGGCUGAAACUUAAAGGAAUUGACGGAAGGGCACCACCAGGGGUGGAGCCUGCGGCUUAAUUUGACUCAACACGGGGAAACUCACCCGAAUAAAAAAUUAAUAUGAUACACAGACUAAAUAUCUCUGUUGAUAUAAUUAAUUGUGGUGCAUGGCCGUUCUUAGUUCGUGAAGUGAUUUGUCAGGUUUAUUCCGGUAACGUGACGAGACCAUAAUCUUCAUUUUGUGAAUUAGAGAUAAUUAAUAGUAAAUUGUAAUUUAUGAUAAAUUAUAAAAAAUAUAUAUAUAUUAGCAAUAAUAUGUAUAUAUUUUCUAUUAAUUAAUGGCAAUUAUAUGUUUAAAUUAAAAAAAUAAUGUAUAAUUCCCUCUAAUUAGAUAUUAUAUGAAUGAAAAUUUAUUAUAAUAUACAAUGAAGAGACAGCCAAAUAUAAUAAUGAAAUUGGAGGAAGUGUGGCGAUAACAGGUCUGUGAUGCCCAUAGAUAUUUGGGGCCGCACGCGCGCUACAAUGAUAAUAACAAAAAGUAUCUGGGUUGAAAAACUUGGAAGAUCAUAAAUUAUUAUCGUGAUGGGGAUUGAUCGUUGUAAUUAUCGGUCAUGAAAGAGGAAUCCCUAGUAGGUGUACUUCAUAAAAGUACGCCGAUUAAGUCCCUGCCCUUUGUACACACCGCCCGUCGCUACUACCGAGUGAAUCGUGUCAUGAUGCUUUGUAACUAGACAUUAUAUGAGCUUAAUUGCUUAUAAUGAUGCUGGGAUCAAUGUAAAAUGGCGCAAUUUCGAGGAAGUAAAAGUCGUAACAAGACUUCCGUAGGUGAACCAGCGGAAG
rnacentral:rRNA from 1 species